UACGUAGGUGGCGAGCGUUGUCCGGAUUUACUGGGCGUAAAGAGCGCGCAGGCGGUCGUACAAGUCGCGUGUGAAAGCCCCCGGCUUAACUGGGGAGGGUCACGCGAUACUGUUCGACUUGAAGGCAGGAGAGGGAAGUGGAAUUCCCGGUGUAGUGGUGAAAUGCGCAGAUAUCAGGAGGAACACCGGUGGCGAAGGCGGAUCUCUGGGCCUUACCUGACGCUCAGGUGCGAAAGCUAGGGGAGCGAACAGG
rnacentral:rRNA from 1 species